AUGUUCUCCCAUCUUCCCUCUCCACCCUUUUGCUAUGCUUCCCCUCCCCCUUUUUCUUCCAGAUCCGGGAGUCCCCAAAACCCCAAAUACGUGGAAAGAGGACUCACCCAUUGUUCAAGGAGGGGGGAACAGGGCCAGCUCCCCCACUGUCCAGGCCUGACGCCCCUUUCCUGGGUCCAGGCUGCUUUUUCGCGGAGGUGGGAGGGGCCUCGCCCUCGCAAGACACGCCCCUUCCUGUUAUUGGUCCAUAGACUUGGAAAGGGACCACAAGGGUCAUCCAGUCCAGCCCUCUGCGCUUUUAGGGAAAUUACACUUGAAUGCUGCUCCCAUUUCCCAGCAAUGAAGCCUUUGUGUCUCUUCGAGAUUUCUUUGCAGGCAAAAGAGAUGCGGCAAGACUAAUUUUUGCCAAAGUUUGGAAACAAAAGACAAUACCAACCACUGAUGAAUGGAUUCUGAAACUGCUAGACUUAAUACAAAUGGAUUGAUUGACACAACAACUAAGAGACGGAAAAAAGAAAAUAGACUGGUCAGGCUUUAAAGACUUUAUUCAGAACAGAGGAACAAUAUUCACAAUAGAUCUAUCCGACGUAUGAAAGUAAAAAUGAUGAAGGCAAACUAGAAAACAUAACAGAAGACAAAUUUUAUUUGAAUAUUAUUAUCCUUAGGAGGACAAUGGGAAGUCACUCAACAACUUGUGUUUUUUCUUCUCCCCCCCCCCUCUCUCUCUUGGCUUUCUCUCUCAUUUUUCACCCCCCUCUCUCUCACUACCUUUAAGAUGUCUUCUUCACUUUCGCUGUAAAUAUCACUUACAACACAAUAAAAACUAUUAUAAAAAAAAUUAAGCCAGGGGCGGGGCCAAGCCGAUGGCUACGUAACAUUUAAAGACAGAUUAAAGAAAUCGAAAGCAUUCAGAAGGGAAAGAUAAAGAAACAGCUGAUCUAAUGAGUCAAAAAAACCUGUGAAUGACGUAAGCUGGGAAGAUUUAUGGAAAAAAGGAGAAAAGGAGGAUUGGUCGGAGGGAAUGAGACAAGAUAACAGCCGCCAUUAAUUAACUACGCAGUCAAAUGUACCAACUUUAAAAGUGGAGAAAGAAAGGAGGAGAGAGAGGAGGUUGCAAGAUUGAGUAUUAAAACAAUUGUAAACCAAUUAUAAGUAAUUGGAGAAGGUACAUUUAAAGUAGGAGUUGGCGGCGAAAGUUUUCUGGAAGAGAGAAGGUAAGCUGUCUGCAGUUUGUAUAUAUGUAUGAAUAAGAAACAGAAAGCGCAGCAGCAAGAGUUUUUCUUGAAAUCGGAUAAUAAUAAUAAUAAUAAUAAUAAUAAUAAUAAUAAUAAUAAUACUUUAUUUUUCUAUCCUGCCUCCAUCUCCCUGAAGGGACUCGGGGCAGCUAACAUGGGGCAAUGCCCAAAACAAAACAGAGUAGAACAAUAAAACGAAUAUCAAAAUAAAAACAAUAAUAACUUCAAUAAAAUUAAUAAACAAUUUAAACAUUUUUUAAAAUACAUUAAAACACAUAAAAUCAGAACAAACAAAUAAUAAUAAUAGAAUAUCAAUCACUAGAGAUGAAAGGAGUCAGGCAUAUAAAACACAAUAUCGCAAGGCUUUUAAUAAAGCACAUAAACAAGUAUCAGAGAGUCAACUGGGAUAAUAUGGGAUAAGGUAGGGUAGGAAGGAAUAAAGUGCUAAGAAGUAAUGUCUCAGUAAAAGGGUCUAUCAUGUGGGUGAAUUAUUCAAACGCACACUGAAAUAGCCUUGCAGCUUCAAAACCUGGCUGCUUCUUGCCUGGGGGAAUUCUUUGUUGGGAGGUGUUAGUUGGCCAACAUGUCAGACUACACAGAGAAGCCAUUGAAAUCAAGCAUGUGGAUAAUUUCAACAGAAAAGAGGAAACCAUGAAAAUAAACAAAAUCUGCAUCUGUCGAGUAGGAAAAUUAGGUACCGCUUUAUGCGGGGAGGCUAAUUUAACUAAUCUACGAUUGCAUUCAAAGCACCCCGACAGAUGGCCAUCAACCCUUAUAGGGGUCUACAACAUGAAUGGACCAACUUUGGCCCUCCAGGUGUUUUGGACUUCAACUCCCAAAAGGGCUGUUAGGAAUUGUGGAAGUUGGAGUCCAAAACUCCUGGAGGACUGAAGUUUGCCCAUACCUGGUGGAUGGUGCUCCUAGAAAGAAGCGAGGGCCCAGUUUUCUCCAUCUUCCUCCAUCAACCCCAUCCCUCUGACCCCAGAGCUCAGCCAUUAUCUUGUGCUGGAUCCCAAGAGGAUGCUGGGCAGAGACAAGGAAGAGGGUGGCCCUGGUUCCGCUACAGAACUUGCCUCGCUCCAGUUCCCGGCUUCCCAGCUGGCGUUGAAGGCACCUGCCAUGGCAGAAGGCGGUUCCACUGAAGAUGCCACUGGCUUUGCCGGCGUGAGGUUGGGUGCUCUUUCGUUCCUGCCCCCGAGGGAUUCUUUCCCACCAGGGAAAGAGAGGCUCUUGUUUUCCAAGCCCAUCUGCAUCUCACUGGGUUCCUUCUGUCUCGGUGCAGCUGACCUGGAAAGCAGAGGGCCGGGCGAAGGUCAUGUGGUCGGCAUGACUGCAUGGAGCGCUGUUACCUUCCUGCCGGAGUGGUACCUAUUGACUGCAGUUGGCGUGGCGGCCAAAGGGUGAGGUAAUCCGGCAGUAGGCUACCACAGGUGGCAUGACGAAGCGCAGGUGGAGUUGCGAGGUCAGCCGGCAGUGGGCGACUGCAGAUGGCAUGGCAGCCAAAGGGUGAGGUAGGCUGGCAGUAGGCUACCACAGCUGGCAUGACGAGGCACAGGUGGAGUGGCGAGGUCAGCCAGCAGUGGGCCACUGCAGAUGGCAUGGCAGCCAAAGGGUGAGGUAGGCUGGCAGUAGGCUACCACAGCUGGCAUGACGAGGCACAGGUGGAGUGGUGAGGUCAGCCAGCAGUGGGCCACUGCAGAUGGCAUGGCAGCCAAAGGGUGAGGUAGGCUGGCAGUAGGCUACCACAGCUGGCAUGACGAGGCACAGGUGGAGUGGCGAGGUCAGCCAGCAGUGGGCCACUGCAGAUGGCGUGGCAGCCAAAGGGUGAGCUAGGCUGGCAGUAGGCUACCACAGCUGGCAUGAAGAGGCGCAGGUGGAGUUGCGAGGUCAGCCAGCAGUGGGCCACUGCAGAUGGCGUGGCAGCCAAAGGGUGAAGUAAGCUGGCAAUAGGCUACA
rnacentral:lncRNA from 1 species